UACAGAGACUGCAAGCGUUUAUUCGGAUUCACUGGGCGUAAAGGGUGCGCAGGCGGCCGUGUGUGUGAGGCGUGAAAGCCCGGGGCUUAACCCCGGAAUUGCACCUCAAACUACAUGGCUAGAGCAUUGGAGAGGGUAGCAGAAUUCAUGGUGUAGCAGUGAAAUGCGUAGAUAUCAUGAGGAAUACCAGAGGCGAAGGCGGCUACCUGGACAAUUGCUGACGCUCAGGCACGAAAGCGUGGGGAGCAAAAGGG
rnacentral:rRNA from 1 species